rnacentral:rRNA from 1 species
UACGUAGGGGGCUAGCGUUAUCCGGAAUUACUGGGCGUAAAGGGUGCGUAGGUGGUUUCUUAAGUCAGAGGUGAAAGGCUACGGCUCAACCGUAGUAAGCCUUUGAAACUGGGAAACUUGAGUGCAGGAGAGGAGAGUGGAAUUCCUAGUGUAGCGGUGAAAUGCGUAGAUAUUAGGAGGAACACCAGUUGCGAAGGCGGCUCUCUGGACUGUAACUGACGUUGAGGCUCGAAAGCGUGGGGAGCAAACAGGAUUAGAUACCCCGGUAGUCCCUGAGCGGG